AAUCAGGGGUGGUCGGGCGUGCGAGCCACGCGACUCUCUGGGCCAGGGGGCCAACUGGGCGCCCGCGCGGCACCGGCCGGGUUCCCUGCGCGGUGGCAUUUAGGCCUGACGCCCUUGCUUCUCUUGCACGGAGCAGUCGAGAUCCAUAGUCGUUUGUAAUGCGAACCGUAGGUGGAAGUGCUUCUCUAAACUCUCCCAAACCGUCUUCGCUCAGCCUACGAUCCGGCCCAGUUUUCUUCCAAGCAGGUUAUUUGGCUGGUCAAACAACCAAAUGGAGAUUGGACAGGAUUAACAGGAGAAAAACUAGUGUAAUUCUUCACAUCCAGGAGCCGCAAACCUGUGACACCUGAAGGACAGCCAGGCUUAUCUGCAGUGGCCCUGGCCGAUGUCAACAUCGGGAGCCUCAGCUGCAGUGUCGGGGCUGGGGGACCUGCCCCAGCAGCUGCUGCGGCACCAGCAGGAGCCCCCGCCCCCUCUACCACUGCUACCCCAGCUGAAGAGAAGAAAGUGGAAGCAAAGAAAGAAGAAUCUGAGGAGUCUGAUGGCGAGAUGGGCUUUGCUCUUUUUGACCAAACCUGUUUUGUAACGUGUUCAAUAAAAAGCUGAAUUCAA